rnacentral:rRNA from 1 species
UACGUAGGGGGCAAGCGUUGUCCGGAAUCAUUGGGCGUAAAGCGCGUGUAGGCGGCUCGGUAAGUCUGCUCUGAAAGUCCAAGGCUCAACCUUGGGAUGCGGGUGGAUACUGCCGGGCUCGAGUCCGGAAGAGGCGAGUGGAAUUCCUGGUGUAGCGGUGAAAUGCGCAGAUAUCAGGAGGAACACCAAUGGCGAGGGCAGCUCGCUGGGACGUGACUGACGCUGAGACGCGAAAGCGUGGGGAGCAAACAGG